rnacentral:lncRNA from 1 species
AAUCCUGGUAAAAUGCAGUAAAGGAUUUAAGGUUAUCGUCUGUCUCUCUCUAACUUCUGACAUCUCUUUAUAACAAGAAAGAGUCACAGCCAACUGUAACAGGAGGGCAACACAAUGAAUCCUGAAUCUUGUUCUACUUGCUGGAUAUAUCUGCAAGAAGCUGGAACCCAAGGGUAUGGUUCCUUCUGAAGAGGUGGUUAACGCACUGCCUGCGGACCAGCAAAGUUCAGGACAGAGAAUACCUAGAGGAGAGGAUCCAGGAUUUUAAAAUUACAGGAGGAGGAAAGAUCCUCUGAGUCUGACUGUAAAAUUUCUGACAGCACUUGGCUCUUCUGUGCUGCUAUAGGGAGUGCUUCUGAAUUUCAUCUGCAAGGCACUGAGAACAGAGGGUACUCGGGACUUAGCAGAAAUUAUUCUCCCUUUUGAAGGAUCAAGCUCUUGGAGAGCACCCACUGUUAGGCAUAUGACCUCUUCAGUAACUGCUUGCACAAGAUUCAGUUAUGUGCAUCAGCAGAGCAGAAAGGAACAGCAUACAUCCUGCAGAGCUGGAAAAUGCCUUCGUUGACUUUUCAGUAUCCACAGCUUUGACAUGGAGAGGUGCACAUCCAGUGGCCAGAUGUAACUGCAGUCAGCUGUGGCCACUCCAAGCUGGAAAUGAGUGUCUGAGCAUCCUGAUCACUAAUCCUUCCACUGCAGUGCCUGUGUUCUGGCUGCUCUCUUGGGUGUUUUAUGAGAACAUGGAGCUGCAUGUCACAGUACCAUUUUUCUGUGGGUUAAAGGAGACUGUUCUAACACUCCCAGCUUCUGCUGCCCAGGUACCUUCUGCUGAAGAAAUUCUUUGUUACCUUGGACAGUCAGUCACACAGUGCUGGUUGGAUUAUGUGCCUCCUGUUACAUCCACAAGUAUAUGGGAAUAAAGCAAGGAAAGGAGAAUAACAAAGCUUUAGUGGUUUGCUGUCCCUGACGAUGUACUAAAUUGGCAGAAACUGUAAAAGCCUGAGUUAUUUUCCUCAGCAGUCCAGCAUUCAGGGAGACCCAGAGCAUAGGGACAGUUGCUGCCACUGCACGCCAUUCCCCC